GGAAUUCAGAUGGGCGUGGAAGCGGUCGCCGCCUCUGCAUACAGAGGACGCUGUGCGGCGCGCACGUUGGGCACCAUGAGCGGCUUCGGCGGGGGGCACACUGCGGGGGGCCAGCCCUGGGCCCACCCUUCCAGGAAGGAACCUGAGUGGGAAUCCCCUGAGCUGCCCGACAACCACAGUACUUGAAGAUCGGCUCAGCCCUUUGGGUGCCAAGCUCUGCAGGGGACUGGCUGCCCAGGAGGCAAGAGCUUUGCCCGGAGGUCUCCCCUGGACUCUGGGCCUCUCUCAGGCUCCUGUGUUGUCCCUGAUCCUGGAAGAGUGAGGUUGACAGUCCCCGGGAGCUGCUGCAGAAGGUAGACAAUCAGGACAGCGCCCCGAUUUUACCCUCAAGGAAGGGGGACGGGGUACCCCACUGCAGGUGAACCUCCUCUUUACAACCAGAGCCAUUUCCUGCCUGGCAGCUGGUGGGCUCACAGCGCGGCCUCCCUCGGUGACAGGACAUGAACGGCACCUCACUGAACCUGCGAGUUGGAUGGGGGGCUGCGAGGUUCCUGAAGUUCAGCCUGAAGUUCACGGAACGCGGCUGCUAUCUGUGCUCUUUCAGAGGCAAGGCGGCCUUGCUGCUGUGUCCCAGGACGUGGCACUUUAUUAUUUUUUUUAAUGUUUUAUUUAUUUCUAGGAGAGAGA